rnacentral:lncRNA from 1 species
AUGUCAACUUCUGUACAAAAUGUGGUUUUGCUAGAGCGUUUUUAUUCAAGCUACUUUGUCCUAGAAUGCUGGGUUAUCCUUUGCAGGAAGAAAGAAAGAAGAGCAGUUCAAGCGGUGAUAAUGUCCUGGAUUAAGCCUUGUGGUACAAAUCAAGCACGGGAUUAUACAGCAUCUGCAUGCAUAGACUAGUAUCAACAUAUAUAGACUAAGUGUAAGGAUAUGUUAAAGGAAGGGGCUUCACAAAAUUCUUUCAUUACUAUUACUGAAUGAUCCAGAAAGUUCUACACUAAGCUUCAUAUGAGUGGUUGAUCUAUGUUUCAGGCAGGCUUUAUUCAUGACACCAACAGAAUGCUCCCAGCUGGGAUAGAUCAGUUUUAGACUCUCCUCUCUAGUUUUAAUUUUGUAUGUGGCAACAAGUAACAUUUUGAAAGUAGUGCAAAAGCAUGCUUUACCCACACUUUCCUAGUCAGUACUUACAGCUACUUCCUGCAAGCAGAUUGACUGAAGUAGUAACUUAUUUCAUAUUUAAAAUCCAGGAAUCUGCUCUUAUAUGUUUUUAGCAUGUCAUACUGCAGCUUUGGCUGCUGACAAUUUACAUGGGUACAGCCUGAAGCUGUAUACUGCAUAUUCUGAUCCUCUUUCAAACACUUAAUACAAUAGGGUCCCAAGUACAUUAUGAACAGAUGAAAACAACCCCCCAUGUUCUAUUUUAGUAUGUUGAGUCUAAAGUCCAUUGGCUGGGAGCUGUCAUCAGACAUGACCAUAUGUUACUCAAUGGUAUUACAAGUAAAUCCUAAUUGAGUGCAAAUUAUGAAGAUUAAAGUCACCUCGCAUUUAGCUGCAUUACACUGAAGCGAAUGUAGUUCAAAGCCUUAUUUAAAAUGCUGGCAAUUCUCAGCAUAAAAAUUAACAGGCUGUCAUUACCUUGGAUUUUAUGAGCUGUUUCAAAUGUCUGGAGUUCCUUGUUUGGAGCUCUUAGUCAGAAGGAAAGAGCAGUCUUUAGCAGCGCAGACUGAAAAACACCAAAGACAAUGUAUCGUCAACAACUUCUGAAAAAACAUUAAAUAUUGAUACAACUAAGUUACAGGAAAAAUCUACUGGUUAUAAGCUUUUCAUAAAUAAUGGUGAAAGACUAUGACUGCUGCUCUAAUUGUGGUUAAGAUCAAAGAUUUGGAUUUAAGCAAUCCACUGCUAGAAUAAAUCAGGCCCUGUUUAUAACAGGCAAUGUAUUACUUCUUGAAAACAAUUAACUGACA